rnacentral:rRNA from 1 species
UACGGGGGGGGCAAGCGUUGUUCGGAGUUACUGGGCGUAAAGGGUGUGUAGGCGGUUCUUUAAGUUUGGUGUGAAAUCUCCCGGCUCAACCGGGAGGGUGCGCCGAAUACUGAGGGACUAGAGUGCGGGAGAGGAAAGUGGAAUUCCUGGUGUAGCGGUGAAAUGCGUAGAUAUCAGGAGGAACACCGGUGGUGUAGACGGCUUUCUGGACCGUAACUGACGCUGAGACACGAAAGCGUGGGUAGCAAACAGG